GGGGAGCGGGCUACCUGCAGUCGAGCGAUGAAGCUCCUUCGGGAGUGAAUUAGCGGCGGACGGGUGAGUAACACGUGGGUAACCUGCCUCAUAGAGGGGAAUAGCCUUCCGAAAGGGAGAUUAAUACCGCAUAACAUAGCACUACCGCAUGGUAGAGUUAUCAAAGGAGCAAUCCGCUAUGAGAUGGACCCGCGGCGCAUUAGCUAGUUGGUGAGGUAACGGCUCACCAAGGCGACGAUGCGUAGCCGACCUGAGAGGGUGAUCGGCCACAUUGGAACUGAGACACGGUCCAGACUCCUACGGGAGGCAGCAGUGGGGAAUAUUGCGCAAUGGGGGAAACCCUGACGCAGCAACGCCGCGUGAGUGAAGAAGGCCUUAGGGUUGUAAAGCUCUGUCAUAUGGGAAGAUAAUGACGGUACCAUAAGAGGAAGCCACGGCUAACUACGUGCCAGCAGCCGCGGUAAUACGUAGGUGGCGAGCGUUGUCCGGAUUUACUGGGCGUAAAGGAUGCGUAGGCGGAUAUUUAAGUGGGAUGUGAAAUCCCCGAGCUUAACUCGGGGGCUGCAUUCCAAACUGGAUAUCUAGAGUGUCGGAGGGGAAAGUGGAAUUCCUAGUGUAGCGGUGAAAUGCGUAGAGAUUAGGAAGAACACCAGUGGCGAAGGCGACUUUCUGGACGAUAACUGACGCUGAGGCAUGAAAGCGUGGGGAGCAAACAGGAUUAGAUACCCUGGUAGUCCACGCCGUANACGAUGAAUACUANGUGUANGAGGUAUCGACUCCUUCUGUGCCGCAUUAACACAUUAAGUAUUCCGCCUGGGGAGUACGAUCGNCAGAUUAAACUCAAAG
rnacentral:rRNA from 1 species